rnacentral:rRNA from 1 species
UAGGGAAUUUCGGCAAUGGGGGGAACCCUGACCGAGCAACGCCGCGUGAGUGAAGAAGGUUUUCGGAUCGUAAAGCUCUGUUGUUAAGGAAGAACGAGUGUGAGAAUGGAAAGUUCAUACUGUGACGGUACUUAACCAGAAAGGGACGGCUAACUACGUGCCAGCAGCCGCGGUAAUACGUAGGUCCCGAGCGUUGUCCGGAUUUAUUGGGCGUAAAGCGAGCGCAGGCGGUUAGAUAAGUCUGAAGUUAAAGGCAGUGGCUCAACCAUUGUAGGCUUUGGAAACUGUUUAACUUGAGUGCAGAAGGGGAGAGUGGAAUUCCAUGUGUAGCGGUGAAAUGCGUAGAUAUAUGGAGGAACACCGGUGGCGAAAGCGGCUCUCUGGUCUGUAACUGACGCUGAGGCUCGAAAGCGUGGGGAGCGAACAGGAUUAGAUACCCUGGUAGUCCACGCCGUAAACGAUGAGUGCUAGGUGUUAGGUCCUUUCCGGGACUUAGUGCCGCAGCUAACGCAUUAAGCACUCCGCCUGGGGAGUACGACCGCAAGGUUG